AUGUCCUUCCUUCAGUUUAGUUCAAUGGGCGUGUUUUUGUAUCAUAUGUGGCAUGUUUCUAUUGUAUAUGCAAUAUGCUUGCAAGUAUCCCACAUGUUUUCUUCAUUCAUUAGCGACUUUGCCAAUGCUUUGGUACUAUUUUGUUCCUGCUUCAACAUAUCAAACAGGACAAAAAUGCAUCAGUUGGAACCAAUCUGUUUUUUUGCGAAAGCAAUUGGAAGCAAUCUACGUUCCUGCUUCCGUAAUUAUGCCCGUUUUUCUUGGAAGCAAGCUCAUUGGCCAUGGAAGCAAAAUAUAUUUCUUUGGAAGCAAAUUUUAUUCUCUGUUGACACUUUGGAAGAAAUGUGUUUUUCUUUUGGCGCCAAGUGUGGACGUGGUAGCCGAAGUGGCUAG
rnacentral:rRNA from 1 species